rnacentral:tRNA from 1 species
GGUGGCUCAGUGGGAGAGCACUUGCCUUGCAUGCAUGAGGCCCUGGGUUCGAUUCCACAGCACCA